rnacentral:rRNA from 1 species
UACGAAGGGUGCAAGCGUUAAUCGGAAUUACUGGGCGUAAAGCGCGCGUAGGUGGUUCAGCAAGUUGGAUGUGAAAGCCCCGGGCUCAACCUGGGAAUUGCAUCCAAAACUACUGAGCUAGAGUACGGUAGAGGGUGGUGGAAUUUCCUGUGUAGCGGUGAAAUGCGUAGAUAUAGGAAGGAACACCAGUGGCGAAGGCGACCACCUGGACUGAUACUGACACUGAGGUGCGCAAGCGUGGGUAGCAAACAGG